AAUUUUGGACAAUGGGGGAAACCCUGAUCCAGCCAUCCCGCGUGUGCGAUGAAGGCCUUCGGGUUGUAAAGCACUUUUGUCAGGGAAGAAAUCGUACAGGCUAAUAUCUUUUGCUGAUGACGGUACCUGAAGAAUAAGCACCGGCUAACUACGUGCCAGCAGCCGCGGUAAUACGUAGGGUUCAAGCGUUAAUCGGAAUUACUGGGCGUAAAGGGUGCGCAGGCGGUUUAUCAAAAAAGGUGUAAAAUCCCCGGGCUUAACCUGGGAAAGGGAAUUUUAACUGAAAGGGUAAAGUAUGUCAGAAGGGGGGAGAAUUCCACGUGUAGGAGUGAAAUGCGUAGAGAUGUGGAGGAAUACCGAUGGGGAAGGCAGGCCCCUGGGAUAAUACUGACGGUCAUGCACGAAAGCGUGGGGAGCAAACA
rnacentral:rRNA from 1 species